rnacentral:rRNA from 1 species
UGGAAAUUUGAGAGGAGCUGUCCUUAGUACGAGAGGACCGGGAUGGACUUACCGCUGGUGUACCAGUUGUCUCGCCAGAGGCAUCGCUGGGUAGCUAUGUAGGGAAGGGAUAAACGCUGAAAGCAUCUAAGUGUGAAGCCCACCUCAAGAUGAGAUUUCCCAUUUCUUUAAGAAAGUAAGAUCCCUGAGAGAUGAUCAGGUAGAUAGGUCAGAAGUGGAAGGCCAGUGAUGGUUGGAGCGGACUGAUACUAAUCGAUCGAGGACUUAACCAAAAA